rnacentral:rRNA from 1 species
AUUGAACGCUGGCGGCAGGCCUAACACAUGCAAGUCGAACGAGUGGCGGACGGGUGAGUAAUGUCUGGGAAACUGCCUGAGGGAGGGGGAUAACUACUGGAAACGGUAGCUAAUACCGCAUACAAUCAGAUGUGCCCAGAGGGGAUUAGCUAGUUGGUGGGGUACAGGCUCACCAAGGCGACGAGCCCUAGCUGGUCUGAGAGGAUGACCAGCCCCACUGGAACUGAGGCACGGUCCAGCCUCCUACGGGAGUCAGCAGUGGGGAAUAUUGCACAAUGGGCGCAAGCCUGAUGCAGCCAUGCCGCGUGUAUGAAGAAGGCCUUCGGGUUGUAAAGUACUUUCAGCGGGGAGGCGUUACCCGCAGAAGAAGCACCGGCUAACUCCGUGCCAGCAGCCGCGGUAAUAC